GCCAACCAGACAUGCCCAGGUGUGGUGUGAACCCCACUGCCUGGUUGAGAGUAGCAGCUCCUGUUUUCUGCACUCAAUCUCUCUCCCUUCUUCAAAACCAGCGACCCCCCUUACAAGGAAACACCAUGCCAAGUGAGGGUCUCAACUCAAGGCUGCAGACACCGCCAGCAGACUGAUCCUCUCACAUUAGGAGGAGCAAAAGGGGGCCUUAGUGCUUGGAACCUGUCCUCCCAGAACUCGAGUGUUGGAUUCACAGCUCCCCAGGUGGCAGUACUUCUAGGUGGGGCCUUUGGGAGAAAGCGAAUCCUUGCCUUGGGGAAGGAAGCAGUCUGUACCAGACACCAAACCUGCCAGUGCCUGAUCUCCACUUCCAGCCUGCAGAUCCUGGAGAAUUAAGUAAAUGUCUGUUGUCUGUAAACUGCUCAGUCUCCGGUCCUGUUCAGCAAGACAGGACUGAGCCUCAUCAGGAGACAUCGCAGCCCACUGCACUGCAGUUCUGUAUGGCUCUCAGCGCUGGGGAUCAGAUCCAGGGUUUUGUGUAUGCAAGUGUUCUACCACUAAGCUAAAUCCCCAGCCCUAGAAUCUUAGAAAUUCUGGGCUGGGGUUGUGGCUCAGUGGUAACCGCUUGCCUGGCAUGCAUGAGGCACUGGGUUCAAUCCCCAACACAGGCCAGCAUGAUGGUGCACACCUGUAAUCCCAGCAGCUCAGGAGGCAAGUUCAAGGGCAGCCUCAGCGAUUUAGCAAGACCCUGAGCAAUUUAGCCAGAUUCAAAAUAAAAAGGGUUGGAGGCAGGGAAGGCCUGGGGCAGUAGCUCAGUGGCAGAGCAUCUGCCUAACACAUGAGAAGCACUGGGUUCCAUCCUCAGCACCCCAUAAAAAUAAAUAAAGGGGCUGGGGCUGUAGCUCAGUGGCAGAGCGCUUGCCUAGCAUGUGUGAGGCCCUGGGUUUGAUUCUCAGCACCACAUAAAAAUAAACAAAU
rnacentral:lncRNA from 1 species